AUGGAAGGCAUAAGAAUCAGCAUGGCAGAGAUGGAGCUGGGCUUAGGCCAGCUUGACCUUUGGGUUCUGGAUCUUCCAGCAGCUGAGUCUGCAGGGUGUUUACAGUCAGGCUCCAGCCUCCUGAACUGCAGGACCCUGCACAACUCCUCCACGUUUCCCCUUGGAUACCGAGCAGACAUCUACAAUUUAGCACACCCAAAAGUGAAUUCAUUCCCCCCCUGCACCCCCGCACCCCCGCCAAGAAAAACCCCUGCCCUAUUCAAAGCCCUCCAAAUCUCAACAGUCCAUCCAGGAGUCUACUUGCCCAAGCCUGUAACCUCAGGUAAGUUUGACUGGAAAGCAAGCCACAUACCUAUAAUCUCAGCACUCAAGAGGCUGAGGCAGGAGAAUUGCUGCAAAUUUGAGGCCAGCCUGGGGUACAUAGUGAGUUCAAGGCCAGUCUAAACUACAGAGUGAGAUUUUUGUCUCAAAAAAAAAAAAAGAAUUUGGGAAGUAGAGUGUAACUUAUAAUCGCAAAGGCAGUCCUGGGUAGUGGGAUCAAACAUAUAAAAUCAUUACAAUGUUUUCUAAAAUAUGCUUAAAGUGAACUCAUUUUAAGUCUAGAUUUAAGUCUAGCUUAGAUUUUGACCUUUUAAUUUAAGUAUGUGUCCCUCUUUGCAAGCAAGGAAACAGAAUCAACCUAAGGCAAUCUAGUCCUCCAGGGAGCGAGGCCAAGUCUUGCAAUCUUUAUCAGAAGGAUACUGGAGUCUCAGAGGUUAGUAAUAAGGUUAUAAACCCUGAACAACUUCUCCACAUUUUUCUUUAGGAAACCAUCAAAACUCCAGUGCUUCAAGGCGUGGCAUACAGAACAUCUUGAUCUACAAAGGACAAAAUGACCCCAAUAAUUUGCUGGCAACUCUGUUGAGAAACUAGAUCAGAGCUGGCCAAAGAUUGGUUGUCAAGACAAAAUGUUUGUAUUUUGAAAACUCACUCUACAGUGUAAGAAAAUUCCUGGUUGUUGUCAAUAACAAAGCUAGUAAAAAAUAUUACAGAAGGACCCACACUGAUAUCUGAUUUUACCCAGGUCUCCCACAGAACCUGAAGGGGCAGAGGUUUGUAUGGGGGGUAAGGUACUUAGAUAUUAUAAAAAUAAAUUACUUAGUAAGGAAAUUAGACACAUUGCAUACUUCCAUUUUCUAUAAGACAAACUGACAAUGAGGACUAUUUCAGAGAAACCCUCAACUUUAAAGAGGGUAGCAGUAGUAUCACUUUCCACUUCAGAAUACUUUCUGCUUUUCAAGAUAAUUAACAAUGCUAUUCUUCCAUGGUACCUACUCGUGUGGAAAAACUUGUUGAGCUUUUUCCAGGACCAGGAAAUGAAAACAGAGUGUGUCCUAAUUAGCUAAUUGUAAGCUCAGUGAACAUUUUUGGGAUGGGCUCAUAAAAUCUGGCCCCUGAUUGUUAAGCAUCUACUAACUGCAAAUUUCCUCAGCCCUUAGCCAUGGUUUCUGCUCAAUAUUGUAAAGCUGGGUGUAGUUCCACUGUGACUCUUGUUGGGCUGAGGUGCUAGUCAUCAAAGUCCGGAAUGUCGUCCUAGGAGUAACCCCGGUAGCCCUUGGACACGUAGUAGGCAACGUGCAGGUGGUAAAAUCCUGGCAGGAGCACCAGAAUGCCAAUGAUCAGGACGGGAAUGCCCAGUCUGCCCCCCUCCCCCCCCGUUUGCUGAUGUAGCGGGACAACAGGAGGGGGCCUAUGAUAAUAAGAAAGGCACCAAUCAAAACAGCUCAGUGGCAAGUGCGAUGGCCUGUUAGGGGAUCUUAGGCGGGCUUUUCUUAAACUGAAGGUCAACGUAGCCAUUGUCUGUGCUGGAGAGCCUUGAGUAUUGUACUUUAGUACUGGGGAUUCCAGUAGCCGGGUUAGUUAGAGACGGCAUCAUAACACGCUGACACAGCCACAGUGCUAUUUUCCAGACGUUGUCACAGAGAGAAAUAAGAACUGACGCGAAUUCAGGCUUAAAACGAACAAAACCAGUUCUGGCGAGAGGCCAAGCGAGCACAGGCUGCACGGAGGCCGCUGGAUCU
rnacentral:lncRNA from 1 species